rnacentral:rRNA from 1 species
GUCCAUAUGUUUGGUUUAUAUGGUCUGGCCUGCCCACUGAUGUUUAAAAUUUAAAGGGCCGCGGUAUUCUGACCGUGCGAAGGUAGCAUAAUAAUUAGUCUCCUAAUUAGAGGCUUGUAUGAAUGGUCGGACAAGAUGGAAACUGUCUCUAUACAAUAAAUAAAAUUUAAUAUUUGAGUAAAAAAGCUUAAAUAAAAUGGAGGGACGAUAAGACCCUAUAAAGCUUUAUGAUGUGUUUUUUUAAUAUAAAUUGUUUUGUUAUUAACAUAUUUUAAAUUAUAUAUUAUUUUACUGGGGCGGUAAAAGUAUAAUGAAUGAAUAACUGCUUUUAUUUUGUAUAACAAUUAUAGUUGAAAAUAAAUUGAUCCAUUAUUAAUGAUUACAAGAACAAGUUACUUUAGGGAUAACAGCAUAAUUUUUUUUGAGAGUUCUUAUCGAAAAAAAAGUUUGUGACCUCGAUGUUGAAUUAAGGAUACCUUAAGGUGCAGCAGUUUAAAGG